rnacentral:tmRNA from 1 species
GGGGACGAAAAGGUUUCGACUGCUGUGAUAUCGGAUUUCAGGUUGCAUGCGGAGUUGAGGAGCUCCUUAAAACCUCACCUUAUAAGUGCCAACAACGAAUACGCACUGGCUGCAUAAUUAAUGCGGCUACGCUCCCUGUAGCUUCCCUUCCGGGGCUACAGAUGAGUGUCAAUUUACGGAGGGUCUGCUAAUUUGGGUCGGGUAGCGAUUUAGCAGGAAUACUAUCCGAAACGUCAGGCUGUGGUUCGUUACUGCACCGAUGCCUGCCGUAACGAGCAGUAACUAAGCAUGUAGAGGCCUGUUUUUCGCACCGUAGGACGCGGGUUCGACUCCCGCCGUCUCCAAUU